GCAUUUUAAUUAAACAAAAUGUAUCUUAAAUAUCAAAGAAAAUGUUUUGAUAUUAUAUAUAUUUAUUAAACUUUACACUACCUUAUUCAAUACACUUCAGCUUUUAUACAUGUAAUAAAUAUACAUACAUAAAUUAGAAUGAGACAGAUGAAAAGGAAAUGGCCAUCUCAAGUUAUGAUGAAAGCAGGAAAGAGUUAACAUUUUUCAGAUGACUGCAUAAAGGAGGGAAGAAGUAAUAAAUUUGCACUUAAAAUUCAUUUCUGAGAUCCUAACUAGGUGACUCAAAGAUUGAAACAUAAAUAGUCACAAAUAUGUCACAAUAUAUUUUAUUUGAAAUUCUACUGAGGACCCAAACAAUUCUAAUCAUAAUAAUAGGACACUAAGUGUGCAGAUUAAAAUUUUCAAUAUAUUCUAUACUCUUAGCAAAAAAGUGCAAUGAAACUUAGAAGAUAAUGUUUAUAAGGAGGUAAUACAAAGAAAAUAACUUAUUCAAGAAUAUUAUCCACCCACUGCCCAACCUAAAAUUCCAACAUUUAAGAUCAUUUGGCCAUUUAUACCAGGAAGGGAAAUCACAGUGAAUAAUUUUCUAAAUGAUAUCUUCUUACAAAGCAGCUAGGAAAUUCUAGGAAUAGGAGAAAGAGCAAGUAACUUUAAAUGUAAUUAUAACAUUUCAAGGCACUGGUUUCUGCUCAGGAAGAACAAGAUCAAAUAGGAUACUCUUAAAGCAGGAAGCUGGACAGGGAAGACGGAGGCUGAGGAGUUUUAGAAUCGUGUGCAUGGCGUCUCAUAAAUAAACAAAAGCACAAAGGAGUCACUGAAGGCAACACUUUUUCCUUCACAGCUUUUUUUCUUUCCACUUCGUUUUAGCUCCUCUAGAACUGGUGUGGAAUGACAGUGGUUGGGAAUUUAUAUUUUAUAAUCCAUCAUUUUAUUACAGUAUCAGGUGCAUCAUUUUUAAUCAAAAGUCUUUGAUCUCUACCUUGUUGUCACGGCAACAAAUUAAAAUAAUUCAAAGUGGUAAGUUGGUGUCUCCAUUGAAAGCAACGUAUCAUAAAAAAAAUAGAUUUGAGAACUAUGGGAUAGAAUUAAUUUGGUGAAGUCAUUUUCAACUCUUCAUCACCUCUCCUAUCAUUCUUCCAAAUAUUAUCCUUUUUUUCAAGUACUUUACAAUUUUUUCUUUUUAUUUUUUAUUGGAAAUGUACAUGCAAACUGAAAAUUUCAAGCAGUAAAAAAUAGAAUGCAUGGUGAAAAAUAAAUUUCCAUUCUACUCAGGACUCCCCA
rnacentral:lncRNA from 1 species